AAAAACAUGAGAGCAUUUUCUCACUUUUUUGUUUCUGGUGCCUAUGAGUUUAUAUAGCAUCAGAGCGGGUUUGAGAGAAAAAUAACCGUUCCCAGUAAGAAAAUUGAGAGAAAGAAAUUGUUCUGGACAUUGAAGAAAUGGAAAAGAGUAGCAAAGCUAGGGUUUGCGGCACUAUGAAUCCAUCUAAAGAGAUUGUGAAAAAUCAAGAAGCACCAAAUGAUUUUCUGGCUUUGCAAGGGUCUGAUAAUCCCGGUAUGAUCCUCGUUUCUGCUCAGUUGACUGGAAAAAUUACAGAGCAUGGAGUAGGGCGAUGAAAUUUGCUAUUGGAGCGAAGAAUAAAUUGGCCUUUGUUGAUGAAAAAGUGGAAGCGCCAGAAGAGGGAUCUAAGGAUUUCGAAAAGUGGAAGAGAUGUGAUUACAUGGUCACAUCUUGGUUGCUGAAUUCAAUCUCGAAGGAUUUGGUUAAAGGCUUCAUUUACACAAUUUCAGCUCUCGCGCUAUGGGAGGAAUUGGCUGAGAGGUAUGGGGAGAGCAAUGACCCUAUGAUUUAUCAGAUCAAACGGAAAAUUGUUUCAAUAUCAUAAGAGAAUCUUUCUAUAGCUAGUUAUUACACAAAGUUGAAGCAGUUUUGGGAUGAAUUGGCUAACAUUGAAGUAAUUCCUUCUUGUACAUGUGGAUCUAUGAAAACAGCAAUAGAUAUCUAUGAUAAAGAUAAGCUUAUGCAAUUCUUGAUGGGAUUAAGUGAUGUGUAUGAUCAGGUAUGGCGCCAAAUUCUUCUAACUGAUCCUUUGCCAAGUGUAAACAAGGCAUAUUCCAUGGUGUUAGGGGUUGAGACUCAAAGGGAAGUACAGUUAAAUAUCACUGAGCAUAUUGAUGCAGUAGUAUACAAGGCUUGUGUAAAGAUUUUAAGAAAUACGACCUUAAGAAAGGGCAUUGUGACUAUUGUAACAUGGAUGGUCACACUGUGGCCGGUUGUUUUAAAUUGACUGGAUUUCCAGAUUGGUUCAAGAAUAGGAAUAGGAAUACCAAUCAGAAUAGCUUUCAAGCCAGAUAUGCUGCUUAAGUGGAUUGUGGAAAUGUAGCUACUAAAGAAUUUAUCUCAGAUUCACCUCUAGAUAAAAGUGCCUCUAUUGAUCUCUUUAAGUAUGAGGAACUGAAUAAGUAAGCUGGAGUCAUUGCAGAUGGAAAAAGAGCAAGUUGGUUAAAGGCAAAGGAAUUGCAGCUAUAAACACGGACCUGAAGACUAAGGCAGCUGUGGCAGUUGGUAAAGAGGUGGAUGGUCUUUACAUUUUUGAUGAUUCUAGUUUUCAUAUGUCAACCAUUUAGUCUUGUCUUGCUUAAAUCAGUAAGCUAACUAAUUCUAGUUCGGCGUCCCUUGUAAAUACCAAUCUCUCUAUUAAUACUUCCAAUAAAGAGAGCUUAUAUUCUUCAAA